rnacentral:rRNA from 16 species
CUGAUAUGCGUGCGCGUCGACGGGUUUUGAAACCUGGGAUGCGCAAGGAAGUUGACGAGAGGGAGGCCCUCACGGGCCGCACCGCUGGCCAACCCUGAUCUUCUAUGAAGUGUUCGAGUUGGAGCACGCCUGUCGGGACCCGAAAUAUGGUGAACUAUGCGUGAGCGGGGCGAAGCCAGAGGAAACACUGGUGGAGGCUCGAAGCGAUACUCACGUGCAAAUCGUUCGUCUGACUUGGGUAUAGGGGCGAAAGACUAAUCNNNNNNNNNNGAG